rnacentral:ncRNA from 1 species
GACCGAUUCUAAGCUCCCUGAUGCUCAAGCAGGCUAUGAAAAAGGCAUAACCAUUGCGAUGGCAGCCUUGGCAGGGUGCAACAAUGUUUCUG